CUACGGGUGGCUCCAGUGAGGAAUAUUGGGCAAUGGGCGAUAGCCUGACCCAGCCAUGCCGCGUGCAGGAUGACGGCCCUAUGGGUUGUAAACUGCUUUUAUACGGGAAGAAUAGGCGCCACGAGUGGCGAUUUGACGGUACCGUACGAAUAAGCACCGGCUAACUCCGUGCCAGCAGCCGCGGUAAUACGGAGGGUGCGGGCGUUAUCCGGAUUUAUUGGGUUUAAAGGGUGCGUAGGCGGGCCAAUAAGUCAGUGGUGAAAUCUCGUGGCUCAACCAUGAAAUUGCCAUUGAUACUGUUGGUCUUGAGUAUAGUUGAGGUAGGCGGAAUGUGUCAUGUAGCGGUGAAAUGCUUAGAUAUGACCCAGAACACCGAUUGCGUAGGCAGCUUGCUAAACUAUCACUGACGCUGAUGCACGAAAGCGUGGGGAGCGAACAGGAUUAGAUACCCCUGUAGUC
rnacentral:rRNA from 1 species